GUCAUCAUUUAACAGCAAGAGACAGACGUCAGACACAAAGGCAGCAUUUUCACCCGUGUCUGACACAUGUCAGCCCUGGGCCUGGGCCACCUCCUGGCUUUCUUCUCCUGCUGCAGGGAGACGCAUGGCCAUGGGCCACGCAUGGGGGGAGCAGAGGCCCGAAGGUGGGGGUGAUCCCCACUUCCAGUUCCAGGCUGGUGGUUGCGUCUUAGGGGGAAGGAGUGGGGGGGCAUCUGUAUCCCCCCAGCAACAAGGAACACAGCCUCGGUGCCCCACCCUGCUCGGCGCCCCAGCCCGCUCUGCACCCCACCCCGCUAGGCGCUCCACCCCGCUCUGAGUGGUGCCUCCUUAAGGCUGGAGACGGCCCUGAGUGCGUUAAGCACGCUAACCUAUUCCAUCUUCAUGGUGUUGAACAGGUUGGAACUGCUGAAAUCUCCAUUGACACAGGGGGAAACUGAGGCACAAAACGAUCAAGCACUUGCCCCUGAUGCCAUGACUGAAGAAGCUCCAGGUGGGCAUUCCGUGGGCAGGGCCGCUGAGCCCCCCACCCCCCCAGGGCUUCUCCAGUUUCACCCUGGACGCACCCUUGGACAUCGCUGUGUUGUUCCCCUGGAAGCCUGUUGAGAUCCUGGCCGCUGUGGACUAUUUCCUAUCAUCUGCAUCAGGCAUCUCGAGCUCAGCUCAGAUCUGCACACAUGAGCCUGUCUGCGUAGCCUCCUGCGGCUGCAGUCACAAAUGGCCCACAGACUUAUGGCUGAAACAACACGAAUGCAUUCUCCCACAGCUCUGGCGGUCAGAAGCCCAACCGGCUCUCACGGAGCUGAAAUCAAGGUGUCGGCAGGGCUGGUCCCUUCUGGAGGCGCAGGGAAGAAUCCCUUUCCUGCCUUUUCUGGCUUCCAGAGGCUUCUGUGUUCCUGGGCUCAUGGUGCCUCUGACGUCACCACGACCUCUGCUGCCAUUGCCACUGCCUGCUGCUGACCCUCCUGCCCCUGGCCUCCCGCCUCCCUCCUACAAGGAUGCCCGUGAUGACCUUGGGCCACCCAGAUGACCAGGAUGGUCCCCACCUGGAGGCCUCUCGCUCAGUCCCAUCUGCACAGGCCCUACUGCCGUGGGAGAGGCACACAGCAGGCUCCGGGGACCAGGACGGGGGUGCCUCCCAGGACCUCUUUCCCAGGCUGAGCGUUUCAUAGCAGGCUCCGGGGACCAGGACGGGGGUGCCUCCCAGGACCUCUUUCCCAGGCUGAGCGUUUCAUAGCAGGCUCCGGGGACCAGGACGGGGGUACCUCCCAGGGCCUCUUUCCCAGGCUGAGCAUUUCAUAGCAGGCUCCGGGGACCAGGACGGGGGUACCUCCCAGGGCGUCUUUCCCGGGCUGCAUGUUUCUUUCCUAGUCCGACUCUUGUCUUCUAACACUGGUUUUGGUGUCUUUUGUUACACAACUGCUUUAACUUCUUAUGUAACUGAAGACGUCCAUCUUGUCCUUUUUGGGAUUAGAAUUUGGGGUAGAAAGUCUUUUCCUCCACCAGAAUUAUACAACUAUUCUAUUUUUCUACUAAUACUUUUAUACUUUUUUUGCAAUUUAGCGGAUUUAUCUGCACAGAAUUUAUUGUGUCCGUAAGGUGGGGUUCUAACUUUGUUUUUCCAGAUGGUGGAUUCAUUGGCCCAACGAUGCCUCUGAAUGAUUCUUUCCUCUCUUUCAAACGUGACCAAUUUCCUACAUUAAAUUCUCUUGUAAAGGGCCAUACGCUAGACUUGAUUUUUUUGUUUUUUUGUUUGUUUGUUUUUUUGAGACAGAGUCUCCUUCUGUCACCCAGGCUGCAGUGCAAUGGCAUGAUCUCAGCUCACUGCAACCUCCGCCUCCUGGGUUCAAGCGACUCUCCUGCCUCAGCCUCCCAGGUAGCAGGGAUUAUAGGCGCCCGCCACCACGCCCGGCUAACUUUUGUAUUUUUUAG
rnacentral:lncRNA from 1 species